UACGUAGGUGGCAAGCGUUGUCCGGAUUUACUGGGCGUAAAGGAUGCGUAGGCGGAUUUUUAAGUGGGAUGUGAAAUACCCGAGCUCAACUUGGGUGCUGCAUUCCAAACUGGAAGUCUAGAGUGUGGGAGAGGAUAGUGGAAUUCCUAGUGUAGCGGUGAAAUGCGUAGAGAUUAGGAAGAACACCAGUGGCGAAGGCGACUAUCUGGACCAUAACUGACGCUGAGGCAUGAAAGCGUGGGGAGCAAAC
rnacentral:rRNA from 1 species